GUGCUCACUUCAGCAGCACAUAAACUAAAAUUGGAAUGAGACAGAGAAGAUUAACAUGGUCCCAACACAAGGAUAACAUGCAAAUUCACAAAGUGUUUCAUAUUUUU
ensembl:snRNA U6 U6 spliceosomal RNA